UACGUAGGGUGCGAGCGUUAAUCGGAAUUACUGGGCGUAAAGCGUGCGCAGGCGGUCUGUUAAGACCGAUGUGAAAUCCCCGGGCUUAACCUGGGAACUGCAUUGGUGACUGGCAGGCUUUGAGUGUGGCAGAGGGAGGUAGAAUUCCACGUGUAGCAGUGAAAUGCGUAGAGAUGUGGAGGAAUACCGAUGGCGAAGGCAGCCUCCUGGGCCAACACUGACCGCUCAUGCACGAAAGCGUGGGGAGCAAACAGG
rnacentral:rRNA from 1 species